UAACGCCAUUAGUUUGCCGUGUGUUUCGAGCGAUCCACCAGUGUCGUCAGUGAGUGCCCUAGUACAGCGCCCGUCCGAGCUGCCUUUGUUCUGCCGAGCUGCCUGCCCGCGCUGUGGUACUGGGGCUUCGAAUUGUAGUGUUUGGAAGACUGUUGAAGGUUGUGCUUUUGUGGAGCUGGAGUUCAUCGGAAGUUCUACAGUGCUUGCGCCAGAGAAACGUCGGUGCCUCUGUACCUGUUAGACGAAGGAGCGUUUGCCAAGUCUUGAAAGGUAGACAUCGGUGACGGUGUAUACGUUGAAAAGGGCCUGCUGAAGAGGCUGUGCCUGGAUGCUUACAACUCAGGCUUUCACUUCGCGGAGGACCUCCUUAAAGCUCCUUUUUCAAUAGAAGACGUUGAAGGGAGGUCCUUGUUUGGGCGGCUGUCAAAUGCCUUCCACAGAAGGAUCCGUUGGAUUCCAAGAAGGUCAACACCAUAGUAGACUACACAACGCAACAUUUCAGCCUACUUCCAGGGCAGCUGGAGAACUCGUCCUCCUUACUAGCCCGGGGAUAUUAAAUGGAUGUGUUCAAGCACAAA
rnacentral:lncRNA from 1 species